rnacentral:rRNA from 1 species
CUGAGGGCUGGGCACAGGGGUCCCAGUCCCAAACCCGUCGGCUAUCGGCGGACAGCUCGAGCAGCUCCCGUGGCGAGAGCGGGUCACCGCAUGCUGGCCGGGGGAUGGACUGGGAACGGUUCCUUCGGGGGCCUUCCCCGGGCAUCGAACAACCAACUUAGAACUGGUACGGACAAGGGGAAUCCGACUGUUUAAUUAAAACAAAGCAUUGCGAUGGUCCCUGCGGAUGUUUAUGCAAUGUGAUUUCUACCCAGUGCUCUGAAUGUCAAAGUGAAGAAAUUCAACCAAACGCGGGUUAACGAAGGGAGUAACUAUGACUCUCUUAAGGUAGCCAAAUGCCUCGUCAUCUAAUUAAUGACGCGUAUGAAUGGAUUAACGAGAUUCCCAUUG